AGUGAACGCUGGCGGUAGGCCUAACACAUGCAAGUCGAACGGCAGCACAGUAAGAGCUUGCUCUUACGGGUGGCGAGUGGCGGACGGGUGAGGAAUACAUCGGAAUCUACUUUUUCGUGGGGGAUAACGUAGGGAAACUUACGCUAAUACCGCAUACGGCCUACGGGUGAAAGCAGGGGAUCUUCGGACCUUGCGCGAUUGAAUGAGCCGAUGUCGGAUUAGCUAGUUGGCGGGGUAAAGGCCCACCAAGGCGACGAUCCGUAGCUGGUCUGAGAGGAUGAUCAGCCACACUGGAACUGGGACACGGUCCAGACUCCUACGGGAGGCAGCAGUGGGGAAUAUUGGACAAUGGGCGCAAGCCUGAUCCAGCCAUACCGCGUGGGUGAAGAAGGCCUUCGGGUUGUAAAGCCCUUUUGUUGGGAAAGAAAAGCAGCAGGUUAAUACCCCGCUGUUCUGACGGUACCCAAAGAAUAAGCACCGGCUAACUUCGUG
rnacentral:rRNA from 1 species